AGUAAUUCCUAGUAAUUUGAAUAUAGUUGCAGGACACAUAAUUCCAACACAGGGGAGGUCCAAGAAGCCCGCGGUGGGGGUGGAGCAGCCAGGGGGGCCAAGAAAGCCGGCCGGGGCGGGCGCGGAGAGUGCUGAUGUGGCGGCCGUGGGCGGGGCGGCGGCGGCCAAGGCCAGGGAGGACGAGGUUGCAUCCAUCGGCGAGAAGCGGCCGAUCCACCUGCGUGCCGUCACUGCUCACAUCCUUCCCCUAAUUUCUUUGCUUUCUCGAUCUGCAGCAGCAGCAGCAGCGUCUCCAUGGAUGCGGCGGCGUGACGGCUUCCAGGCACGGAUCCCUCCUCCGCCUCCAUCCUCCACCUCUCUGGUCGCCCGGUUGCAACGGUGAGCUCUCCCUUUCCCCGACUACUCUCCUCUCUCACAUCACAUCAGGUCGAAUCGGACCCUUGAUUUCUUUUUCUGUUGAGCAGCUGCAGCUCCUUCCUACCUUCCAUGGACGAGCUCGACGGAGACGCCGUCCAGCCCGACCAUGGCCACGACUACGCCACGCACAAGGUCCCUUCCUGCUCCCCCACCUUCUUCCAUGGUUCAAGACGCUACAUAGAUUGCUGCUGCUGUUUGUCAAAUUCAUUCCACUGAAGCCAUCUACUUCGUCCACCAACCCGCCCCGAAAGGCAGUUAUUGUGAAUUGAUGUUCGCACUGAGGCCAGAGGCGAGAGGCGAGGGCACAAAGGUCGGCGGCAAGUGCUCAGGAGAGAAGAGGAAGGCAGUGGUGGCUGCGGUUUACACGAGAGCGAGGUGACCUGCCCAGAAAGGUAGUUACAGUGAAUUGAUGUUCAUAUGAACUUCAAUGCUGUGACGUUUUUAUUAGAUCUGAGUUGCAAUCCUCAAUUUUUUUAGGUUUGAGUAGCAAUGCUCCUGCUCUACUAGCUAUGACAUUUUCCAUGUUUUUUCUUCUAAUAUCGUAUAGCCUCCAUGCUUAUGGGUUCAACUUGACAAGCUUUUUUUCAUCUUACAUCCUGUUUUAAGCUCUGUUUAUGGUUGAUUUCUGCCAUGUUUAUGGAGGGAGAGGACGCCAAGUACUAGGAGAAGGAUCAGUUUGUUAGGAAUAAGCAACUUGUAUUCCCAUGAGGCCAUAGGCCGAUAUAUAUAUACAUGUACAGGUGUGGAACAUAUGCAGGAAACCCCUCAUACAAUAAGAUAAAUAUAAAGGGGUAUAUGACUUAUAUUAUAACUCUAACACCCCCCCUCAAACUCAUGGUGGAUGAACAACACUGAGUUUGGAGAGAUAAAAGCCAUGUUGUGCUCUAGUCUGUGCCUUUGUCAGGAAAUCCGCCAACUGUAACUCGGAAGGCACAUACUGAAGAGCAAUAACCUCAUCCUGCACAGCAGCGCGCACAUAGAAAGCAUCAACACCAAUAUGCUUGGUGAGCUCAUGCUUCACAGGAUCGCGUGCAAUGCUGAUAGCACCUGUACUGUCAGAUAGAAGCAGAGUCGGUGUAGUGACAGAAACACCAAAAUCCUGAAGUAACCACCGUAACCAAGUCACCUCUGCCGUCAAAAGAGCCAUUGCUCGCAACUCAGCCUCGGCACUCGAACGGGAAACUGCAAGCUGUUUCUUCGUCUUCCAGGCAAUGAGAGAACCACCAAGAAAAACACAGUAAGCAGAAAGUGAACGGCGAUCGGAAGGAUCACUAGCCCACGUAGCAUCAGAAUAGGCCUGGAGCUGUAAAGAACUGGAGCGAGGAAAGAAUAGACGGUGAGAGAUCGUGCCUCGAAGAUAUCGAAGAAUACGAAGGAGAUGACUAUAGUGAACCAAGGUGGGGGCAGAGACAAACUGACUCAGAAUAUGAACCGGAUAAGAGAUGUCCGGACGAGUGACAGCUAGAUAGACAAGACUGCCAACAAGAUGACGAUAACGCGUCGGAUCAGGGAGAGGAUCACCAUCAGUAGCACGGAGGUGAACAUUGAGCUCCAUAGGAGUCUCAACAAUGCGCUCGUCAGUAAGAGCAGCACGAGCAAGAAGAUCCUGGAUAUACUUUUCCUGGGAUAUAAAAAAGCCAUCAGAGGUAGAAGAGACUUCAAUCCCAAGAAAGUAGCGAAGAGGUCCAAGAUCAGACAUAAGAAACUGCUCACUAAGACGGGCCUUUACAAAGGCAAUAUACUCGGGAUCAUCCCCCGUGAUGAUCAUGUCAUCAACAUAAAGAAGAAGAAGAGUCCGACCACGAGGAGAAAGGUGAAUAAACAAUGCGGGAUCAUGAGCACUUGCUAAAAAACCAGCAGCAGUGAUCACAGAGGCAAAGCGCUCAAACCAGGCGCGGGGGGCUUGCUUAAGGCCAUAGAGAGAGCGACGAAGACGACAUACCAUGCCAUCAGGAACAGAAUACCCAGGUGGUGGCUGCAUGUACACCUCCUCACGCAACUCACCAUUAAGAAAGGCAUUCUUAACAUCAAGCUGAGAUAUAGACCAGUGGCGUGCAGAGGCAACGGCAAGAAGGGUACGAACAGUGGUCAUAUGAGCCACAGGAGCAAAAGUCUCGUCAUAAUCACGACCAUGCUCCUGCUGAAAACCACGAGCCACAAGACGAGCUUUGUGACGCUCAAGAGAACCAUUGGAGCGAGUCUUAACCUUGUAGACCCACUUACAAGUGAUCGGACGAACUCCGGGAGGAAGAGAAACAAGAUCCCAAGUACCAGUGCGUUCAAGAGCAGCAAUCUCCUCUGCCAUCGCAAACUGCCAUUCAGGAUGAACAACAGCCUGAUGGUAAGAAGUCGGCUCAAGAACAGCAGCACCAGCAGUGGGAAAUCCAAAGCGAUCAACAGGCGGACGAGGACGAGAACGCAAACCAUAAGUAGGCUGAGAGAAAGAUGACGACCCAUCCACGGAGGCAUCAACUGGUCGUGGACGACGAGUGUAAUGUUGAGGAAGAGAUGGAAUAAUAGAAGGAGGAAUCGGCAAGGUAGAAUCAGGGGGUGACGACGAAGAAGUCACCGGAGAUGAAGGUGUAGAAUCCGGUGACAAACUGGGAGAGGAAGUCACCGGAGAUGAAGGUGGAGAACCCGGUGACAAGCUAGACGAGGAGACCGGGGAGGAAGGUGACUGCAAGUCAACGAGAUGUGGAGAAGGAGAGGAAGUGGAACGGAGAGGUACAGUGUCGGCGAGGGUGAUAGGUGUGUCAGGAAAAGUGAGGAAAGAGAUAUCCUGCACUGAAAAAGUCGAGGAAGAUGGGCGUGGGUAGAAAGGACGAGACUCGUCAAAAGUCACAUCUCGAGAGAUACGCAUCCGACGACCAAUAGGAUCCCAACAACGAUAGCCCUUAUGCUCAUCACUGUAGCCUAAGAAAACGCACUCAACAGACUGAGCAGUCAGUUUGGUGCGUUCGCGAGGGGCAAGAAGAACAUAGCAAACACAACCAAACAAGCGAAGCAUCGAAUAAUCGGGAGAACGAUCAAAAAGUCGCUCGAAAGGAACACCACCCUGUAGAGCAGCGGAAGGCUGUAUAUUGAUAAGAUAGGUGGAUGUGGAGACGGCCUCAGCCCAAAAAUGAGGCGGGAGAGAGGCAGCAAUCAUCAAUGCACGAGCCGUCUCAAGAAGAUGUCGAUGCUUUCGCUCAGCCACACCAUUCUGAGCAUGAGCACCAGGACAAGAGAAUUGAGAGAGAGUCCCGUGUUCAGCAAGAACACCACGCAACAUCUUAGAGAUAUACUCGCCAGCGGAGUCAGCACGAAAAACACGAAUGGGUGAAGAGAACUGAGUAUGAACCAUGGCAGCAAAACGCUUAUAAAUAGACAACACCUCAGAACGAGAAGUCAUGAAAUAAAGCCAUGUGUAACGAGAGAAAUCAUCUAUGAAAAUAAUAUAGUAUUUAUGACCACCUUUCGAAGCGAAAGGGGCCGGACCCCAUACAUCAGAAUGGACUAAAUCGAAAGGACGCUUAGACACGGACUCACUAUGGGAAUAUGGUAACUGAAUCUGCUUACCAAGACGACAACCCUGACACUCUAAAGAGACAUCUCCUGAGACAGACCCCAGAAGGCCUCGACGAACUAAAGAAGACAACCGAGAUCCACACAGAUGACCAAGUCGAUGAUGCCACUGCUGGAAGGAACCAGUGACAGAGGCAACAGAAGCGGAAGAACUGGCGAUGGUGGUAGCAGCAGAAGGAACAUGAAGCCAGUCCAACUCCCAAAGACCCUGAGAAUCACGGCGGCGAGGGCCAGCCCCAACCAGAGUGUGCGUGUGACGGUCCUGAACAGAACAAGAGUCAACGUCAAGGAUGACACGACAACCAGAAUCCGUAAGUUGACCAGCAGAAAACAAAUUCAUGGUAAGUUGAGGAACAUGAGCAACAUCAGGAACAGAAUAAGAAGGAGUAGUAAGAUUGCCUCUACUAGCAACAGAAAGUGGAGUACCAUCAGCAGUGAAGACAUGAAUAGGAGAAUCCAGUGAUCGAAGAGAGGACAAAGUGGAGGAAUGAGAAGACAUAUGAAAAGAAGCUCCAGAGUCCAGAACCCAUGGGGAUGUACCUGACUGUGUAGAGGGUGAUUGCUCAGUGCGGGAAGCAUCAGUCACAGAACCGGCAGUACCCGUCGAGGAAGAACCUGAAGCCGCGAGCAGACGCUUAAGUCUCAGAAUAUCCUGCUCAGUCAAAGCAAUGGCUGAAGCUGUCGAGGUAGACGACGAAGUCCCUGAAGAUGAUGAUCGAGCCUUGCGCAUGUGUUUCUUCUUCGUGUAGCACUGAGACUCAAGAUGACCAUCAUUGUUGCAAUAGGCGCAGUGUGGAUGGGGGCGACCGGAGCCUCCAGAAGGAGUGGGCAAGAGCGGCGGAGCACUCGAGCGAGAAGUGGUCGAUGGAGCAGGUGGCGGAGGAGCACGAGUAGCAAGCACAGAGGGAACCUCCAGCAAACCAGCACCACGUAAGCGAGUCUCCUCUGCACGAAUCUCAGAAAGCGCCUCCAUGAGAGAAAUACGGCCACGAGCAAACAACUGAGCACGCCGGGGCUCAAACUCCUUACGAAGCCGAGACAAGAACUCAUAGACGCGAUGAAACUCCAAAUUGGCCUGGACAGCCUGGCAACAGGGGCAGGUACGACACCCAGCACUACGGAGAGAAUCAAGCUGACGCCAGAUAGCAGAACUCUGUGCAUAGAAGUCAUCAACAGUAGAGUCACCCUGCUGAAGGGCAUGCUCCUGGCGGAUCACAGAGAGGUAUAAGGCAUCACCAGAGGGCUGAUAGCGCUCACGAAGACGGGUCCACAUCUCAAAGACAGUAGAAAGACCCAGAAAUUCAGAAGCAAACUGAGGCAGAACACUAGCAGUGAGAACAGCUGCAGCACGGGCAUCAUCAUCAAGCCACUGGGUGUAAGCAGACAGAGCACCAUGAUACAACUGAAGAGCCUCCUCAUAAGCCAAAACCCUCUCAUCAUAAGCACGAUCAGCAACCUCAUCAGCAACCUUAGCCGCAUCCUUGGCAGCCUGAUUAGCAUCCGUAGGAAGAACCGAUGGAGUUGGCGGGGUAGGGGCCACCGGAGGAACUGGACGUGGCGGACAACAGACCUCGCCAGAAAGAACACCCCAAAGACGGAUGCCACGCAUGUGAAUGCGCAUGAAGCCAGUGAACUCGGUGUAGUUAGUACCAUCAAAGAUCACCGGACAGCGAGGAACAGCAACAUAACCCGAUGCAGCAGACAUUUUUUUUAAGAUCCGAUGAGAACGACCGGAUCGGAAUCAGGCGCUGCUACGGGAGCAGCGAGAGCCGGCGGGAGAGGAGAUCAAGGGCGCCUGCAGGACGAGCCCCCUGGGCCGAUCUGACGCCCUGGGCGCCUGCGGGAAGGGCGGCUGGGUGGCGCCCGAGCGGGACAGGCCAGCAGCCGAGCUCCCUGAGCGUCGGCUGGACGGGAGCGGGACGGGCGGCUGCAGGACCGGCUGGAGCAGCGCUGCAGGAACCGAUCCGGCUGGAGGAGCUCGAUCAGGAGGAAUCGAUCGAAGACAGGAAGGGAUUGAAGCCAGCGGGACCUGCGGGAGCAGAUCGAAGCGGGCGGGAGCUGGAGAUCGAUCGGGGCGAGAUCGAGCGGGAGGCUUCGAGCGGCCCUAGUUGGAGAUCGGUCGGGAUGUAGAGAGGAUCAAACGCACGAGUUGCAGCGUGCAAAAAAAUUGACCUAGCUCUAAUACCAUGUUAGGAAUAAGCAACUUGUAUUCCCAUGAGGCCAUAGGCCGAUAUAUAUAUACAUGUACAGGUGUGGAACAUAUGCAGGAAACCCCUCAUACAAUAAGAUAAAUAUAAAGGGGUAUAUGACUUAUAUUAUAACUCUAACACAGUUUAGCAAGUACAGGCUGUAAUUAUCUCGUGAUUAUGGGUAGAUGCCUCCUUUAUUUAGUUACCAGAGUUGUUCACUAUUGAAUAUGCAAAUUCAGCAUCCUUUAUAUAAUGGGAUCUUAUGAACUUUUUUUGAAGAUUGCUGAGAAGCGCAACCUUUUGAUCUUCGAGAACCGCAAGUUUGCUGACAUUGAAAACACAUUCAUUAUGCGAGACGAAUGGUGAGAAAUGUGCUAUUCCCUAUCCUUACAUUCUAUUUGCAUAUUCGCGUAGUGUGCUUAGUUUUUUUCCUUUCAAGAUGAAUAUUCUACACAUGAGAGCAAUAUACUUGGUAUUAUUGAUGCUCAUAUAAUUCCUGGACCUGGAAUUGUUGAUGGCUUGAGGCUUAAAGUAUGUUAUGUGUUGCAUACCUAAUAAAUAUUAGCAAGUUAAUGUUGCAGCUUGACAGAUGCUGCGAUAACUUCUCCUUUUUCUGUUUGUUAAUAUCCACUUGGAACUGAGCAGCCAUGAUCCGUAUUUCCUCUGUCUAGCUACGAGAUGCAUGCAGUUCGUUAUUGUGUAUCGUGUGCUAAAACAUUGAUUAUUUGACAAUGAACACAUGGCAAUGCCUUAACUAUUCAACUUGCCUAGAUAUUUUGCUUUUUGUAUGUUGAGGGGAGAUGGAUAUGGCCUCGGGACUAAACGCACAGACCACAUGAAGUGAUCUGAUGGUUUGGAUUUUUGCUAUGUGCCUAUUUGCUUAAGAAAAUACUUGACUGGAGAGCAAAUUCCAAAUGGAGCUGCAUUUUCAUGCGUUGGGGGCAGAAGUAGAAUAAAUAGUAAAUCUUGAUCUUAUGGAGUGAUGAUUUACAUUCUUUGUGUGAUGAGAUAAUACACAACCUAGGUGUUAUUUAACGUGCUGUUGUAGAACAACUGACUAUCAUGAUCUGUAGUUUCUGAAUAUUGAGUCCUUGAGUUUUGGGGAAUGGUGCGCUCUAAUUUGGAAGUGGUAUUUCCUAAUGUAUUCACACAGUUAGAUAUCAUAUUAUAUAUUUUUCCUCUUACUUGAAAUUUCUGCUAUGUAAAGCUAGGUUGUCUUUGAUUCGUUGUGUGUUAGGUAUUGAACAGACUGGCUUGUUUGGCUAACCUUCCUUUACUUUUAUUUUGCAGGCUCUAGAAUCACUAAGGUUGCUCCUUCUCUGUUCCUUUGCUCCUUCCACCGUGAGGUGCAGGUGCCGCUCCGCAAGGUGCUCGAGCUCCCGAGGUCUACAUGGGCGCCUGCAAGUGGGACGAGCUGCCCUACACGCGCGUGGCGUCCACGGCCAUGCGCCAGUACAAGGAGGCGUCCUGGAUGCAAGAUUUUAAAUAGCGUCCGCUACCUCCGCUAUUGCGGCUGCAAUAGCGGUAGUGUCACCCUGCCACUAUUAGUUUAAGGUUGCGUUAGAAAAUAGCGUGUUGUCAUGAUGCGGGCGCAAUAUCACUUGUUAGACCGCUAUAUCAUCCGCUAUUCGUAAUAUCGCCCGCUAUAUACGUCCUUAUUAUUCUAUUGUGUAAUCUAUUUUGGUAAAUGUGUCUUGCUUGCAUGGUUGCACGACCAAAUAUUGUUCAAUUAUAGUUUAUAUUCCUAUAUAAAUGAUGAUUUCUCAAAUUAAGUGUCAUAUUUUUGUCAAUGGCCUAGACAUAUACACAACAAUCUCAAAUUUAUGAGUGUUUUUUAAAAAUUGGCUAUGUGGACAUAGCGCCCGCAAUAUCGCCUGCUAUCCGCAUUUUGCUAUGUGGG
rnacentral:lncRNA from 1 species